rnacentral:rRNA from 1 species
UACGGAGGGUGCAAACGUUGCUCGGAAUCAUUGGGCGUAAAGCGCACGUAGGCGGACUGUUAAGUCGGACGUGAAAUCCCUCAGCUUAACUGAGGAAGUGCAUUCGAAACUGGCAGUCUUGAGUACGGGAGAGGGUCGCGGAAUUCCCCAAGUAGAGGUGAAAUUCGUAGAUAUGGGGGAGGAACACCGGUGGCGAAGGCGGCCACCUGGACGGUCACUGACGCUGAGACGCGAAAGCGUGGGUAGCAAACAGG